rnacentral:rRNA from 1 species
AACGAACGCUGGCGGCAUGCCUAACACAUGCAAGUCGAACGAAGUCUUCGGACUUAGUGGCGCACGGGUGCGUAACGCGUGGGAAUCUGCCCUUGGGUGCGGAAUAACUUCUCGAAAGGGAUGCUAAUACCGCAUAAUGUCGUAAGACCAAAGAUUUAUCGCCCAAGGAUGAGCCCGCGUAAGAUUAGCUAGUUGGUGGGGUAAAAGCCUACCAAGGCGACGAUCUUUAGCUGGUCUGAGAGGAUGAUCAGCCACACUGGGACUGAGACACGGCCCAGACUCCUACGGGAGGCAGCAGUGGGGAAUAUUGGACAAUGGGCGAAAGCCUGAUCCAGCAAUGCCGCGUGAGUGAUGAAGGCCCUAGGGUUGUAAAACUACUUUCACCUGUGACGAUGAUGACGGUAGCAGGAGAAGAAGCACCGGCUAACUCCGUGCCAGCAGCCGCGGU